rnacentral:rRNA from 1 species
GUCCGCACAGUAAACGAUGAAUGCCCGCUGUCGGCGAGAUACAGUCGGCGGCCAAGCGAAAGCGUUAAGCAUUCCACCUGGGGAGUACGCCGGCAACGGUGAAAACUCAAAGGAAUUGACGGGGGACCCGCACAAGCGGUGGAGCAUGUGGUUUAAUUCGAAGCAACGCGAAGAACCUUACCAGGUCUUGACAUCCUUUGACAAUCCUAGAGAUAGGACUUUCCCUUCGGGGACAAAGUGACAGGUGGUGCAUGGUUGUCGU